rnacentral:rRNA from 1 species
GUGGGGAAUAUUGGACAAUGGGCGCAAGCCUGAUCCAGCCAUGCCGCGUGAGUGAUGAAGGCCCUAGGGUUGUAAAGCUCUUUCACCGGUGAAGAUAAUGACGGUAACCGGAGAAGAAGCCCCGGCUAACUUCGUGCCAGCAGCCGCGGUAAUACGAAGGGGGCUAGCGUUGUUCGGAAUUACUGGGCGUAAAGCGCACGUAGGCGGACAUUUAAGUCAGGGGUGAAAUCCCGGGGCUCAACCCCGGAACUGCCUUUGAUACUGGGUGACUGGAGUAUGGAAGAGGUAAGUGGAAUUCCGAGUGUAGAGGUGAAAUUCGUAGAUAUUCGGAGGAACACCAGUGGCGAAGGCGGCUUACUGGUCCAUUACUGACGCUGAGGUGCGAAAGCGUGGGGAGCAAACAGGAUUAGAAACCCCUGUAGUCC